AACGAACGCUGGCGGCAUGCCUAACACAUGCAAGUCGAACGAGACCUUCGGGUCUAGUGGCGCACGGGUGCGUAACGCGUGGGAACCUGCCCUUAGGUUCGGAAUAACUCCCCGAAAGGGGUGCUAAUACCGGAUAAUGUCUUCGGACCAAAGAUUUAUCGCCUUUGGAUGGGCCCGCGUUGGAUUAGCUAGUUGGUAGGGUAAAAGCCUACCAAGGCGACGAUCCAUAGCUGGUCUGAGAGGAUGAUCAGCCACACUGGGACUGAGACACGGCCCAGACUCCUACGGGAGGCAGCAGUGGGGAAUAUUGGACAAUGGGCGAAACCCUGAUCCAGCAAUGCCGCGUGAGUGAUGAAGGCCUUAGGGUUGUAAAGCUCUUUUACCCGGGAUGAUAAUGACAGUACCGGGAGAAUAAGCUCCGGCUAACUCCGUG
rnacentral:rRNA from 1 species